UGGCUUAUGGUUUGAGGGUGCUCCAUC
rnacentral:piRNA from 1 species